rnacentral:ribozyme from 1 species
AGUCGAAAAAGGGGAAGUCGAAAGUGGUGCGCCCGCAGUACCAGUCCGAGCUAUCCAGCUUGACCACUGUGGUGAGGCGGAAGGAGACGGAGAC